CAGUAGCCACGGUAAUACAGAGGGUGCGAGCGUUAAUCGGAUUUACUGGGCGUAAAGCGUGCGUAGGCGGCUUCUUAUGUCGGAUGUGAAAUCCCUGAGCUUAACUUAGGAAUUGCAUUCGAUACUGGGAAGCUAGAGUAUGGGAGAGGAUGGUAGAAUUCCAGGUGUAGCGGUGAAAUGCGUAGAGAUCUGGAGGAAUACCGAUGGCGAAGGCAGCCAUCUGGCCUAAUACUGACGCUGAGGUACGAAAGCAUGGGGAGCAAACAGGAUUAGAUACCCCUGUAGUCCCUGUCUCUUAUAC
rnacentral:rRNA from 1 species